UUGCUCUCGGGUGACGAGCGGCGGACGGGUGAGUAAUGUCUGGGAAACUGCCUGAUGGAGGGGGAUAACUACUGGAAACGGUAGCUAAUACCGCAUAACGUCGCAAGACCAAAGUGGGGGACCUUCGGGCCUCAUGCCAUCAGAUGUGCCCAGAUGGGAUUAGCUAGUAGGUGGGGUAACGGCUCACCUAGGCGACGAUCCCUAGCUGGUCUGAGAGGAUGACCAGCCACACUGGAACUGAGACACGGUCCAGACUCCUACGGGAGGCAGCAGUGGGGAAUAUUGCACAAUGGGCGCAAGCCUGAUGCAGCCAUGCCGCGUGUGUGAAGAAGGCCUUCGGGUUGUAAAGCACUUUCAGCGGGGAGGAAGGCGGUGAGGUUAAUAACCUCAUCGAUUGACGUUACCCGCAGAAGAAGCACCGGCUAACUCCGUGCCAGCAGCCGCGGUAAUACGGAGGGUGCAAGCGUUAAUCGGAAUUACUGGGCGUAAAGCGCACGCAGGCGGUCUGUCAAGUCGGAUGUGAAAUCCCCGGGCUCAACCUGGGAACUGCAUUCGAAACUGGCAGGCUAGAGUCUUGUAGAGGGGGGUAGAAUUCCAGGUGUAGCGGUGAAAUGCGUAGAGAUCUGGAGGAAUACCGGUGGCGAAGGCGGCCCCCUGGACAAAGACUGACGCUCAGGUGCGAAAGCGUGGGGAGCAAACAGGAUUAGAUACCCUGGUAGUCCACGCUGUAAACGAUGUCGAUUUGGAGGUUGUGCCCUUGAGGCGUGGCUUCCGGAGCUAACGCGUUAAAUCGACCGCCUGGGGAGUACGGCCGCAAGGUUAAAACUCAAAUGAAUUGACGGGGGCCCGCACAAGCGGUGGAGCAUGUGGUUUAAUUCGAUGCAACGCGAAGAACCUUACCUGGUCUUGACAUCCACAGAACUUUCCAGAGAUGGAUUGGUGCCUUCGGGAACUGUGAGACAGGUGCUGCAUGGCUGUCGUCAGCUCGUGUUGUGAAAUG
rnacentral:rRNA from 1 species